rnacentral:miRNA from 1 species
GUUGGGGGCUCUUUUGGGACG